UACGUAGGGGGCAAGCGUUGUCCGGAUUUACUGGGCGUAAAGAGCGUGUAGGCGGCCAAGCAGGUCCGUUGUGAAAACUGGAGGCUUAACCUCCAGACGUCGACGGAAACCGCGCGGCUAGAGUCCGGAAGAGGAGAGUGGAAUUCCUGGUGUAGCGGUGAAAUGCGCAGAUAUCAGGAAGAACACCAAUCGGCGAAGGCAGCUCUCUGGGACGGUACUGACGCUGAGACG
rnacentral:rRNA from 1 species